UACGUAGGGUGCGAGCGUUAUUCGGAAUUACUGGGCGUAAAGCGUGCGCAGGCGGUUCGUUAAGUUCGUUGUGAAAGCCCCGGGCUCAACCUGGGAACUGCAAUGGAAACUGGCGGGCUUGAAUGCGGCAGAGGGGGGUGGAAUUCCGCGUGUAGCAGUGAAAUGCGUAGAGAUGCGGAGGAACACCGAUGGCGAAGGCAGCCCCCUGGGCCGACAUUGACGCUCAGGCACGAAAGCGUGGGGAGCAAACAGG
rnacentral:rRNA from 1 species